rnacentral:rRNA from 1 species
GGCCGCGGAAACCCGUGCAAAGGUAGCAUAAUCAUUUGCCCUCUAAUUAAGGGCUAGUAUGAACGGAUAAACGAGAAAUUCCCUGUCUCUUAAGUAAAAAUAAAAACUAUCCUUUAUGUGAAAAGACAUAAAUUACAAUAGUAGACAAGAAGACCCUACUGCACUUAAUCACUAAUGACCGUUAAACCCAUCUACCUGAUUUCGUUGGGGCGACACCGGAUUACACCACUCAUCCAACCCCGAAAAGGGCAUCAACCCACAUAAAUUGAUCCUUUUAAGACCUAAGAAAAAGCCACCAUAGGGAUAACAGGCCAAUCUCCUCUUAGAGCCCAUAUCGACGAGGAGGGUUGGCACCUCGAUGUUGGCUUAGGGUAUCACAUAGGCGCAGCCGCCUAUAAAUG